UACCAAGAAGUUAAGUCAUAUAUUUAUGGUGAAAAGACAGUUAAAUAUAUAUUUAGGUUUAUAAGGUAGUUUAAUGUCUUGUAUAGAGGUAAAAUUUGAGUACAAGCAUAUAAUUUGUUAACAACUUUGUAGAUUGAAGCUGUGAAGUCCUUAAGGGAAACUAGGAUUAGGUACCCUAUUAUUUUUGGAUGUAAAUUUGGUGAGAAUUUUUACCAGAGUACUAUGAAUAUUAAGAAUUUAAAACUCAAAGGACUUGGCGGUGCUUUAGACCACUUAGGGGAACCUGUCUCAUAAUCGAUGAUCCACGAUACACCUGACCUUUUUUUGCAUUCAGCUUGUAUACCGUUGUCGUCGGGUAACUUUUUAGAAAUUAAAAGUUAGCAACAGAAAUUAAGUGUGAUUCGGUACGUCAAAUCAAGGUGCAGCUAAUAAGAAGGGGAGGAUGGGUUACAAUUAUAUAAGUUAUAGCGGAUAGAUGUAUGAAGUUACAUCAGUUUAAGGUGGACUUAAAAGUAAAUUAGGAUAUAUAAAUAAUUUGAAUAAGGCUCUGAAGCGUGU
rnacentral:rRNA from 1 species